rnacentral:sRNA from 1 species
AGGGGCUUCAGACAAAGGUGAGCUUGUGGUUCUGAAACUUUUAUUCUCCCCUACUGCCCAAGUCUGUCCACUACCUCCAAUGGUGAGUCACGGAGAUUUCGUCUGCCACCCGCGGCCUUGUGAGCGCUACAACCACGGAACUGUGGUGGAGUUUUACUGCGAUCCUGGCUACAGCCUCACCAGCGACUACAAGUAUAUCACCUGCCAGUAUGGAGAGUGGUUUCCUUCUUAUCAAGUCUACUGCAUCAAAUCAGAGCAAACAUGGCCCAGCACCCAUGAGACCCUCCUGACCACGUGGAAGAUUGUGGCAUUCACGGCAACCAGUGUGCUGCUGGUGCUGCUGCUCGUCAUCCUGGCCAGGAUGUUCCAGACCAAGUUCAAGGCCCACUU